CGGCGCCGGGGGCAUUUUUCUGACGCUCCUCAGCAGCGGCAGGAGUGCCAGGUUCCUCUGUGGGGAAUAGAACCGACAACCUGCUGCCGCCUCCGAGCCUGACUCACAGGGGCACUCUGACCGUGUUUUAAUGAGAGAACCCUUCUGAAGACUCAUGUCAGGUUUCCGGGAAUAUUGAUUACUGAUUAGUGAUUGAUUCUCUUUCUAGUGGAGCAGCUGCUGAGUCAGUGGCACUGAGCUACAGCCCCUGUCCUCACUCUGUCAAUGGUCCCACAUGUGGACUGAAAGCGCAGGUUUCCUUUGAACAGUCUCGUCAACAAUAAUAAAGCCUGAGCUCAGAUCCUGCAGCUGAACUCUGCUGCAGGUCUCUGGUCUGGAUCCUUUGUGCUGAGAGUUAGGGCUUUUGAAUCUUCUUUUGUAACACUAGGACCACGCGGGGGCAGAGACCAGGCAGGUGAGCUGGGAGUCCAGGGCUGUGUGACGUGGUCUCCUUGAUCUGCAAAAGGGGGGAGGAACCGGUCUGAAGGGUUCUGAAGCCUGGUGGGGAAAAUGGCUGGUUGUUGUGGACUGGACAAAUGAACGCACCCACCCCUCAACGACACUCUGCCUUCUCCUUAGGAUGCAGAUCAGUCUUCAUCGUGGGGCAGCUGAGGAAGAACCUGCACGGGUUCAGGUGAACCUGUCAACUGCUAAACCAUGGGCAGAGGAGCCUGGUCUGGAGACCACCACACUCAGCCCUGGACCGCCAGCUCACCUCCUCCUUGGAGGGUCUGUGUGUGAUUGACAGCAGAGCUAUCCCCGCAUCCUUUGCAGCCUGGAAGAUGUUCCCCUCCACGUCGAUGCUGACGGCGCUCGUACACUCAUCCAACAGAGCGUACCGAGGGCUGGGCGAGAGACAUUCGCAACAUCAGGGAGAGAAAGACGAGAGACAGCAGUCCAGGAACCUGGUCGCUGAGGGGCCCCUCUGCUGUACCUGCUCUGCCUGUUGGACUAUGAUGGGAGCUCUGUGCUGUGUUCACAGCGCCUUCUAAAGGCGGUGCCAGAAUGUGGUCUACGAACAAGCAGUGAGCACCCAUGGACUUCUACAGUGCGCAUCGCUCUUCAUGUGCGUUCUUACUAUAGAAAUUAUGGACAAGUGGGUGCUGACUCCAAAGGAGUAUCCUGGCUCCUGUUGAUACAGACCCUUAUGUUUUUCACCGAGAACUGUAACCAACCAACCAACCAACCAGUCAAUAUGGUUUUUAAUAAGGAUUAAAAAAGAAUCCAAAUUCAUGGUCUAUUGAAACUUUCAAUCCAGUGUGCCUACUGACAUACAAAUAUACAGCACCGCAGCCGAGGGAGGCGUAGUCCCCUAGGCUCAUUUUCCAAAGUACUGAGUACACCUAUCACUCCCAAAUAGCUGGCUGAGUUGGGUUGUCACCAGCCUCAUUUCCUCGGCAGCGUGUCCACACAUAUUGAAGCUGAAGCAAAUGCAACCACAGGGGCGAUCUCCUCCUCUCUCCCUCAGUCCCUCUCUCUCUCUCUCUCUGUGUCUCAUCAAAAGCUGGUGCCAGUGGUGGUGCACUCUCUCUUAAAGGACAUGAUCACCAUUGUUCUACCUGGUUUAGACAUUAAAACGUUAU